CAGUCGCCACGGUAAUACGUAGGUGGCAAGCGUUGUCCGGAAUUAUUGGGCGUAAAGGGCUCGCAGGCGGUUUCUUAAGUCUGAUGUGAAAGCCCCCGGCUCAACCGGGGAGGGUCAUUGGAAACUGGGAAACUUGAGUGCAGAAGAGGAGAGUGGAAUUCCACGUGUAGCGGUGAAAUGCGUAGAGAUGUGGAGGAACACCAGUGGCGAAGGCGACUCUCUGGUCUGUAACUGACGCUGAGGAGCGAAAGCGUGGGGAGCGAACAGGAUUAGAUACCCCUGUAGUCCCUGUCUCUUAUAU
rnacentral:rRNA from 1 species